rnacentral:rRNA from 1 species
ACAGGGAUUGCCCUAGUAACGGCGAGUGAAGCGGCAACAGCUCAAAUUUGAAAGCUAGCCUUCGGGUUCGCAUUGUAAUUUGUAGAGGAUGCUUUGGGUAAAACGCCAGUCUAAGUUCCUUGGAACAGGACGUCAUAGAGGGUGAGAAUCCCGUAUGUGACUGGAAAUGUUAACCUAUGUAAAGCUCCUUCGACGAGUCGAGUUGUUUGGGAAUGCAGCUCUAAAUGGGAGGUAAAUUUCUUCUAAAGCUAAAUAUUGGCGAGAGACCGAUAGCGCACAAGUAGAGUGAUCGAAAGAUGAAAAGCACUUUGGAAAGAGAGUUAAAAAGCACGUGAAAUUGUUGAAAGGGAAGCGCUUGCAAUCAGACUUGUUUAAACUGUUCGGCCGGUCUUCUGACCGGUUUACUCAGUUUGGACAGGCCAGCAUCAGUUUCGGCGGCCGGAUAAAGGCAUUGGGAAUGUGGCCUUCACUUCGGUGGAGGUGUUAUAGCCCAGUGUGUAAUACGGCCAGCCGGGACUGAGGUCCGCGCUUCGGCUAGGAUGCUGGCGUAAUGGUUGUAAGCGACCCGUCUUGAAACACGGACCAAGGAGUCUAACAUCUAUGCGAGUGUUCGGGUGUCAAACCCCUGCGCGUAAUGAAAGUGAACGGAGGUGGGAACCGCAAGGUGCACCAUCGACCGAUCCUGAUGUCUUCGGAUGGAUUUGAGUAAGAGCAUAGCUGUUGGGACCCGAAAGAUGGUGAACUAUGCCUGAAUAGGGUGAAGCCAGAGGAAACUCUGGUGGAGGCUCGCAGCGGUUCUGACGUGCAAAUCGAUCGUCAAAUUUGGGUAUAGGGGCGAAAGACUAAUCGAACUAUCUAGUAGCUGGU